rnacentral:rRNA from 1 species
UACGGGGGGGGCAAGCGUUGUUCGGAAUUACUGGGCGUAAAGGGCUCGUACGUGGCCAACUAAGUCAGACGUGAAAUCCCCAGGCUCAACUUGGGAACUGCGUCUGAUACUGGAUGGCUUGAAUUCGGGAGAGGGAUGCAGAAUUCCAGGUGUAGCGGUGAAAUGCGUAGAUAUCUGGAGGAAUACCGGUGGCGAAGGCGGCAUCCUGGACCGAGAUUGACACUGAUGAGCGAAAGCUAGGGGAGCAAACGGG